GUAGGUGAACCUGCGGAAGGAUCAUUACCGAGUUCAUGCCCUUCGGGGUAGAUCUCCCACCCUUUGUAUACUAUACCUUUGUUGCUUUGGCGGGCCGCCUAGCUACUGGCUUCGGCUGGUAAGUGCCCGCCAGAGGACCUAAACUCUGUUUGUCUAUAAUGUCUGAGUACUAUAUAAUAGUUAAAACUUUCAACAACGGAUCUCUUGGUUCUG
rnacentral:misc_RNA from 1 species